rnacentral:rRNA from 1 species
AGGACGAACGCUGGCGGCGUGCUUAACACAUGCAAGUCGAGCGGAAAGGCCCUUCGGGGUACUCGAGCGGCGAACGGGUGAGUAACACGUGAGUAAUCUGCCCCUAGCUCUGGGAUAGCUCCGGGAAACCGGGAUUAAUACCGGAUAUGACCACUUUAGACAUCUGUUGUGGUGGAAAGAAUUUCGGCUAGGGAUGAGCUCGCGGCCUAUCAGCUUGUUGGUGGGGUAACGGCCUACCAAGGCGACGACGGGUA